rnacentral:rRNA from 1 species
GACGAACGCUGGCGGCGUGCUUAACACAUGCAAGUCGAACGGUGAGGCCCUGCUUUGGUGGGGUGCUCGAGUGGCGAACGGGUGAGUAACACGUGAGUAACCUGCCCUUGACUUUGGGAUAACUUCAGGAAACUGGGGCUAAUACCGGAUAGGAGCUCCUGCGGCAUGGUGGGGGGUGGAAAGGUCCGUCGGUUGGGGAUGGACUCGCGGCUUAUCAGCUUGUUGGUGGGGUAGUGGCUUACCAAGGCUUUGACGGGUAGCCGGCCUGAGAGGGUGACCGGCAAAAUGGGGAUUGAGAUACGGCCCAGAUCCUUACGGGAGGAAGAGGGGGGGAAUAUGGACAAAUGGGCGGAAGCUUGAUGAAGAAACGCGGCGUGCGGGAUGCCGGCCUUCGGGUUGUAAACCGCUUUCGCAGGUGACGAAGCGUGAGUGAGGGUAAUGGGUAAAGAAGCACCGCCAAAUUACGU